GCGGUCUCGUAUCGAACCGUUCGGACGUCCGGGCCACGGCGAUGGCCGACUUGCGCUGGACUCGCUCUAGCAACCUGCGGCACUCGCGAGUGUUCAGCGCCUCGUGCCAUAUAGGUGCGGCGUAGCGCAUGACCGAGUCAGCCACCGCUGCCAGAAGUCGGGACUUCGACAUCUUCGGCCCCCGGUGGUUUGGCAUGAGUCGACCAACCGCCUGCGCGAUCUGGUCCGCCCGCUGCGUCACUGCAGUCACAUGAGGCAACCAGGAUAGGUGGUAGUGAACCAGCACACCCAGGUGCUUUAUGCUCCUGGAGUAUGGAACUGCAGUUCCUCUCACGUCGAUGAUAAUGUGGUUUGGAGGGUGCUUCAGACUUGAGAUAAUCGUCAUCUCUGUCUUAGCUGAUGCCAGCUCCAAGUAGUGCUGCUGCAUCCACUGGUCGGCUGCUGACACCGCUGCCUCCGCCACUGCUGCAGACUCCUCCGGCGUCCUACCCGGGGCCAGGACGACGAGAUCAUCGGCGUAGCCAAUGACCUUGGCCUCGUCGGGUAGGGGAAUCCGCAGCACCCCGUCGUACAUUACCGGGAUAAUUGGCUUGUGGCCUCCAAGCGUUCAUAGCGACGUGGCUUUUUGAUCCUUCGAUGUCGACUCUUCCUAUCAUUGUCAAGCAAAAUUCACCAAGUGUUGGAUUGUUUAACCUUUCAAGGGAAGGUGAGCUGGGUUUAGACCGUCGUGAGACAGGUUAGUUUUACCCUACUGAUGUGUGCUUAUAGUCGCUAUCUUAACGGAAUUCCUGUGCAGUACGAGAGGAACUACAGGUACGGAUCACUGGCUCAAUACUAGGUACAUAAUGAGAAAUAUUACUGGUACACACGUGCAUUGUUUAAUAAUAAAAGUAUAAAAUAUGCCUCUCCCCAUAAUCCAACUUUGUGUUUUGUUUUGCAAAUCAGGAAGAUAAAUAAUUAAAAAUUAUAUGUAUUUUGAUAGACUUGGAAUGAUUUUUAUAGUCAAUGUCAUAAUAUAUUUACAUUAUUAAAAUACGAUAUUUGUGU
rnacentral:ncRNA from 1 species